rnacentral:lncRNA from 1 species
AGUUGCAAGUGCAGUGGCUUCGCGAAUGGAUCUUCAUCUCCGAGCUGUUGGGAAUUUUGAGAAGAUUGGCUGGCAUAUAUGAAUUUCGUCCCGUCUCUCUAUCCAGCAACACAGCUUCGUCGUCCGGCGUAAUCCGGACGAAAUUAAAGCCGACGCGUGGGGGGGGGGGGGCAAGAUACUAACGAGUAAAUACUCGAGUCUCCUCUCUCGCGAAGCCUCGGGAAAAAUCUGUCGGACUCGCGAGCGAGCUACACACGACAACGGACUCUCAUCCUUGCCGAAGGCUGAUUAAUGGCACCAAACGAAUGAAAAAAAAAAGAUUCGAAAGCCAAGAGCGCGAGAUGAACACCUACGAGAUGAGGUACGAGAGAGAGAGCUGCUAUGCAGCUGCUUAAAGGAACUGUAUUAACCGCGCGAGUCGCGGCCGCCGCUCGCUGCACGAUUAGUAUAUUGUCAAGGCGCGAGGCGAUUUAUGAGCCCGUGCGAGCGAGCCGUGUUCUCCAAUGCGAGCUUGUAUGUGUGUGUGUGUUCGUACAUGUGUGCUGGAGGUUUUUAAACGAGCGAGGGAAAAAGGAGUAGGAAGGCGUAUUGAUUCGGAUGAAAAACCGUGUUACGAAAGCUUGUUAAGACACUGAAAAAUCGGCGCGUGGAAGGUUUCUCAAAUUCUUCUCGUUUCCCUUUUUUUUCUCUCUUUCUCUCUCGCGUGAAGUUCGUGGAGAUUUUAUCGUGAAAUGCUAAAAAUUCCGUACAAUUAAUCUAUGGAUCUUACGAAACUGUGCUUCACGCGUAAUGGAUCGCUUUUAAUCGGAUUUCAGAACUGUACUAAUGUUAGAAACUGUGCGAAUCAUUUUUUUACUCGUUCCGAGACCACAGUCUUCGCACAGCUGCAAUCGGUUACAGAGAGAACACAAGAAGAACGUUAAACUUUUCUCCCGCGAUUUGCAUAAGCGUACGUUAUCAUUACAAUUUUAUAAAGCACUUUCCAAAGAACAGCUGCCGCGGUCGCGAGUAGAUAACAAUAAUUACGAACGAAUUCCACAAGGUACACUCAAAAAAUUAAAUAAAAUACUUCCCGCUCGACGCAGGCGUGCGUACCAUAACUUUCCGGCCAGUUAGCCAUGCACCGGCGCUGCAGCGACUGCAAAACUGUCAAAAAUAAGCAGCCCCGCGCUAUAUAGCUGCUCGCAGCGAGUAAAUUGCACAAGUCGAGCGGUGUGUAGCUAAUAAGCCCCGAGUGCGAAAGCCAUAUUAAAUAAUAACAGGAAUCCGCGCUCGCGCAGGCUAUAUACUCGCGCUUCCAGCGUCGCGUUAUAAAAGCCAUAAGAAGAAAUUUCCGAGUGUAGGGCUCUCUCUAUUGCAUCGAGAGCCGCCGACACGCGAAGCUCGUUUCCCUCUUCCCUCUCUCUUAUUCUCUCGAUAAGUCGAUCAAUAUGCAAAUAAACGCUCGAGCUGCUCUGCGAAAUUCACGGAUCGACAGGAAGGAGCCGUAUUAUACGUUGCGCGCACAGCUACACACACACACACACACUCAUGCAGAGCUCAAAUUAUGUUAUCUCCUUACGCAUCGAGUGAGCGCGCGACGCUGCGCACGGCAAAACUGAUUGCAGGCCCAGAUUUAUGGCGUGUUCAUUAAGAAAGCCGUGCGCGCGUUUAUGCCCGGUAGAAGAAGAAGUCUGUAUAGAGUGAUUAUGCACGGAAUAUAAGCUGGCCCUGUCGAUCGCGCGCGGCGCGUCCUUUAAUUGCAUUAUCUCGCUCGCUCGCAACUUUCUCGCCCUUUUCUUGUUAAUCGGACUGUUAUUAUAGCCGGUGAGCACGCGCUGCCCGCGAGUAGCGCCCUUUAAUUCGCCGCUGCUCUGUGGCGGUUUAUGCACUUGCGAAUUUCCGGCGAAGCGGAGAACCCGCCGCGAGAUGUACUUAUAUGCUUACGCGCGGUAUUUUCGUGCGUACGGCAGCUUUCCGCUGAAAAUAUAUUGGUGUGCGUAGUGCGCACGAAGAAGCGAGAGAGAAAGAGCCGAUCGUUAUCGCCUUUUUACGCGUUUCUUAAUUAAGAUGUCAAAUUCGCAGCUGAAGUUAAAAUGCGCGUAAUGUUGAUGUGCUGUUUUUUUAUAUCUGUCGUUCGUGUGUAGGAUGUGGAGCACGACAGUCGUGAGAGUAAUAUUUCGCGUGGCAGCUGCUAACGACGAGUGAUAUAAAUUUUAAUUAAAAUUCAAAUUGAAAGGGAGGAAUCGAUGCGAGGAGAGUGCGGAAGGUGCUGUUCGAAUUUGACUCGAAUUACGAGUAAGCAACGAGUCUAUAAAAAUACUAUGUGAUAUCCUUAAAGUUCCGUGUAAUAAUAAUGAAAUUCGAUGAAUAUAACCGAUAUAUUUUUGCUCAUUACAAGCGACGACCAAGCAUUCAAUUUCAGCAGCGCUACCUGCAGCAGCCGAUCGAUAUAGCGCGUAGAGAUUUAUGACGAGUCGUAAAUUUAGCGCGAUCAAAGUGUGAUUUUGUAAAUUGCGUCGAGCACCGCAGAAGCGAACGCGCGGCGGUAAUGUCGAAAUCCGUGUGCCGUCGGCAUCGGCUCAGAAUUCCGUUGAGCGGCGCGCGCGGCUGCAGAGCACACACGGCGAGCGAUUAAACUGUUUCUGCCCUGGUAAUUGGAGCUUUGCUCUUUUUUGGCUGUGUGCUUCAAAAAUUUGAUUGUUUUCGUUGUACUUGAAAUUGUGAUUUUUUAUGUGAUUUAUGUAGUGUACUCGUGGAGUACGAGACUCUGUGGUAUAAUAUAAAUAUUUUUGAAUAAAGUUGGAAA